rnacentral:rRNA from 1 species
CCCUUAGAUGUUCGGAGCUGCACGCGCGCUACACUGAAGGAAGCAGCGUGUUAGAGCACCUGGCUUGAAAGAGCUGGGUAAUCCGGUGAAUGUCCUUCGUGAUUGGGAUAGGGACUUGUAAUUAUUUCCCUUGAACGAGGAAUACCUAGUAAGUGCGAGUCAUCAGCUUGCGCUGACUACGUCCCUGCCCCUUGUACACACCGCCCGUCGCUCCUACUGAUUGGGUGAUCCGGUGAGCUGUUCGGCCAUAGCAAUGUUUCUUGAGCAGGGCAAUGAAUGUUUCGCAAACCUUGCCACUUAGAGGAAGGAGAAGUCGUAACA